rnacentral:tRNA from 1 species
GGAGGAUGGCCUGAAUCCCCGUGCUGGCGCUGAUGGCGCCAUUCUGGGCCAUCUUCAUGGCCUCGGGGAUCGACACCCCGAUCUUCUGC